rnacentral:pre_miRNA from 1 species
AGUAUCAUUGCUGGAUCAUAUGGUAAGAGUACGUUUAGUUUUGUAAGAAACUGCCAAACUCUCUUCCAAAGUAGCUGUACCAUUUUGUAUUUCUACCAGCAAU